rnacentral:rRNA from 1 species
UAGGGAAUCUUCCGCAAUGGACGCAAGUCUGACGGAGCAACGCCGCGUGAGUGAAGAAGGAUUUCGGUUCGUAAAACUCUGUUGUUAGAGAAGAACAGCGCAUAGAGUAACUGUUAUGCGUGUGACGGUAUCUAACCAGAAAGCCACGGCUAACUACGUGCCAGCAGCCGCGGUAAUACGUAGGUGGCAAGCGUUGUCCGGAUUUAUUGGGCGUAAAGCGAGCGCAGGCGGUCAAUUAAGUCUGAUGUGAAAGCCCCCGGCUCAACCGGGGAGGGUCAUUGGAAACUGGUUGGCUUGAGUGCAGAAGAGGAGAGUGGAAUUCCAUGUGUAGCGGUGAAAUGCGUAGAUAUAUGGAGGAACACCAGUGGCGAAGGCCACUCUCUGGUCUGUAACUGACGCUGAGGCUCGAAAGCGUGGGUAGCAAACAGG